rnacentral:rRNA from 1 species
CUUCCGUAGGGUGAACCUGCGGAAGGAUCAUUAUAGUAUCUUGCUGCCUGCGCUUAACUGCGCGGCGGUACACCUUUACACACUUGUUUAUCAGUGCUAUUGCUUUGUCGCAUUUGCGGCAGAGAUUACAAACUACUAAGUUUUACUACUUAUUUUAACCUAGUCAUGAAAUUUUACUAAAAAUAAAAAUAUUCAAAACUUUCAACAACGGAUCUCUUGGUUCUCGCAACGAUGAAGAACGCAGCGAAAUGCGAUACGUAAUAUGAAUUGCAGGUUUUCGUGAAUCAUCGAAUCUUUGAACGCACAUUGCGCCUUUUGGUAUUCCAGAAGGCAUGCCUGUUUGAGCGUCAUUUCUUUCUCAGUCUCUCACUUUGUGUGAUGACUGGUAUUGAGUGGUACUCUUUGCAGGGUUAACUUGAAAUAAGCGUAGCGCGAGCGGUGACGGCCGAUCUUGCCGAGAUAAUGUAUUAGGUUCUGCCAACUCGUUAGCUCAGUCAGACAAGCAGUCGCCAGCAACUCCGCUGUCCUUUCACAAAGUUUGACCUCAAAUCAGGUAGGACUACCCGCUGAACUUAAGCAUAUCAAUAAGCGGAGGAA